CGUACACUCCUGCGGGAGGCAGCAGUGGGGAAUAUUAGACAAUGGGCGCAAGCCUGAUCCAGCCAUGCCGCGUGAGUGAUGAAGGCCCUAGGGUUGUAAAGCUCUUUCACCGGUGAAGAUAAUGACGGUAACCGGAGAAGAAGCCCCGGCUAACUUCGUGCCAGCAGCCGCGGUAAUACGAAGGGGGCUAGCGUUGUUCGGAUUUACUGGGCGUAAAGCGCACGUAGGCGGACUAUUAAGUCAGGGGUGAAAUCCCGGGGCUCAACCCCGGAACUGCCUUUGAUACUGGUAGUCUUGAGUUCGAGAGAGGUGAGUGGAAUUCCGAGUGUAGAGGUGAAAUUCGUAGAUAUUCGGAGGAACACCAGUGGCGAAGGCGGCUCACUGGCUCGAUACUGACGCUGAGGUGCGAAAGCGUGGGGAGCAAACAGGAUUAGAAACCCCUGUAGUCCCAUG
rnacentral:rRNA from 1 species